rnacentral:lncRNA from 1 species
GAAACAAACAAUUUUUUUUUUUUACGCCUAAGAAGUUUGAAUCCAAGUACCAAACAACAUUAGACAUAGAACACUUUAUUUAGAUGUAGUUGGUUUUCAGACACCUUUCCACACACUACAGCCUUUGUGUUAAUUACCUGAUGCAGAAAGUCAACUAGUAUUUUAAAGCUACAUGAGUCAUUUUACCAUUGUUAUAUAACCCAAGAUUUGUUGAUGGUACCUUUAAACUAUAUGUAUAUAAUGUCAGACAUAGUGCUGUAGUAUUAUCAAUCUUUGACACACUUGCUUUCUGAUCAAAUGUCUGGCAGUUUAUUAAACUGAAAUAGAUUAUUUUCGCUAUCUUGUGCAAUAACUUUUUGAGUCUACAUCUAUAGACCUUCUAUGCAUUUGCUAAACAUUCGUUUUUAAAAGUGCCUCUUCUUUUUAUAGUGAAAUGUGUGUGCGGUAGUAACAGUACAGACCAGGAAGUUCAGAAGUGAAGCAGUGCAGGUCUAAAUUGUUCAACAAAGUGUAGAGGGAAACAUAGUGGAAACAUUUCACAAGUUAACAUGACAUCUGCGAAGUUCAUGUACUAGUAACAGGACAGGCCAUGGUGUUCAGAUAUGAAGAGAUCUAUACAGGUCUACAUUGUUCAACACAGUGUAUCAGGGAAACAGAGUGGAUGGCAAGGAUAGAAAACAUUUCACAAUUUUACAAUGAUCAAGUUGCCUGUGAUGAUUGUUCUUGUUGCGGCUCUAGUACCAGCUGAUACGGAAUUCUGUUACAUAGAUGAAAACUGUGAAGUAUCAGUGCAGACCAUGAAGUUCAGGAAAUGAAGAGAUGCUGGGUCUAAUUUGUUCAACAAUGUGAUCGAGGGAAACAUGGAUGGCAAGCAUAAAAACAUUUCACAAUUCUUCCCUGAUCAAGUUGCCUGUGAUGGCUGUUCUUGUUGUGGCUCUAGUACCAGCUUAAGCUGAACUCUGUUUUAUAGUUGAAAUCUGUGAAGUAAGAGUACAGAUCAUGAAGUUCAGAUAUGAAGAAAUGCAGGUCUGGAUUGUUCAACACAGUGUAUGAGGGAAACAUAGUGGAUGACAAGCAUAGAAAACAUUUCAUAAUAUCAACUACAUUGGAGCAAAUAAAAGGAGGUUUAGGGACAGCCUGAUAAUUUUUUGAUAACUUGUGGUUGACAACUGUAAAAUAUCAGAGAAAUAUAUGAGGAGGGCUUGCUGCUGGAUGCCAUCGCCAAACCAAGAAGUUCAGACUGUUUUGCACAUACUUGCGUUUCUCAAGUAUGGCCUUGAAGGGAUUGUCAUACGAAAAGGGUAGGAAAGAUACAGAAGUAAGGAUAUGAGAAGCCACGGAAAACAAAGUAAAAAAGCUACAUGUAUACAAAAGAUUCCAGACAUACAGAGCUGUAGAUCUUUGUAGGAUCUUGUUGUGAGGUGUAGGGAGCUGCCAAGCAGAUGGAAUGUAUAAUGUAAGAGACUAAGUAUUGAUGAUUUAAGUUUGCAUUCUUAAACUAGGUUCUAUCAUUAGGUAAAAUGAGAUUAAACAUAGAUGCCACAUAAUGUUUGUUUGACCUGUAGUGCGUUUUCAGGUAUACAGUUCAAGGAUGUGACAUUGUGCAAACCAGAAUAUAAAUACAACAGUGAUUUAACUAGACAUAAAUUUUUUACAUGUAUAUAUAUUUUAGCUUACCUGAGCAUAAAGUGCUGGGGGUGAGCUAUUGUGAUCUCUCACUGUCCGUCAUUCUGUUUCGUCAUUCUGUUAGUUUGUCCGUCCAUCCUUAAUUUUAUGUCCGUUCCAUAACUCUGUCAUUCAUCAAGGGAUUUAAUAUUACUAGAUCAUACACAACACCCAGAUCCCUAGCUCAAAGGUCAAGGUCACAAUUGGAGGUCAAAGGUCAACAGGGCUUUUUUCCUGUCCAGUACAUAACUAUACAUGCCAUCCAUGAAGGGAUUUUUAUAUUACCUGGCACAA